CGCGUGGUUCUAUUUUGUUGGUUUCUAGGACCGCCGUAAUGAUUAAUAGGGACAGUCGGGGCCGUCUGUAUUCAAUUGUCAGAGGUGAAAUUCUUGGAUCUAUUGAAGACAAACUACUGCGAAAGCAUUCGGCAAGGGUGUUUUCAUUGAUAAGGAACGAAAGUUAGGGGAUCGAAGACGAUCAGAUACCGUCGUAGUCUUAACUAUAAACUAUGCCGACUAGGGAUCGGACGAUGUUAUUUUUUGACUCGUUCGGCACCUUUCGAGAAAUCAAAGUGCUUGGGCUCCAGGGGGAGUAUGGUCGCAAGGCUGAAACUUAAAGAAAUUGACGGAAGGGCACCACCAGGGGUGGAACCUGCGGCUUAAUUUGACUCAACACGGGGAAACUCACCAGGUCCAGACACAGUGAGGAUUGACAGAUUGAUAGCUCUUUCUUGAUUCUGUGGGUGGUGGUGCAUGGCCGUUCUUAGUUGGUGGAGUGAUUUGUCUGCUUAAUUGCGAUAACGAACGAGACCUUAACCUGCUAAAUAGCCCUUAUUGCUUCGGCAGUAAGCUGGCUUCUUAGAGGGACUAUCGGCUCAAGCCGAUGGAAGUUUGAGGCAAUAACAGGUCUGUGAUGCCCUUAGAUGUCCUGGGCCGCACGCGCGUUACACUGACAAAGCCAGCGAGUAUUUCCUUGGCCGGAAGGCCCGGGUAAUCUUGUGAAACUCUGUCGUGC
rnacentral:rRNA from 1 species